rnacentral:rRNA from 1 species
UGUAAUCUACGGGGCGCAGCAGUAGGGAAUUUUCGACAAUGGGCGCAAGCCUGAACGAGCAAUGCCGCGUGAACGAGGAAGGUCUUCGGAUCGUAAAGUUCUGUUGAAGGGGAAAAAGAGCGGAGAGAGGAAAUGGUCUCCGAUUGAUAUUACCCUUCGAGGAAGUCACGGCUAACUACGUGCCAGCAGCCGCGGUAAUACGUAGGUGGCGAGCGUUAUCCGGAAUUAUUGGGUGUAAAGGGUGCGUAGACGGAGAAACAAGUUGGUUGUGAAAUCCCUCGGCUCAACUGAGGAACUGCAACCAA